UUAGAUACCCUAUUAUACCCUUUAGAUAAUAAUUUACUUGAGUAGUAAUCAGUUAUGUUCUUGAAACUUAAAGGAUUUGGCGGUAUCCAAGUCUAGUUAGAGGAACUUGCCCUGUUAACGAUAUACCCCGAAUUAUCUUACUUUUGUUUGUUUACAGUUUGUAUACCGCCAUUAGUAAAGUAAUAUUGAUAAGUAGAUACUAUAAUAGAUUCAAUCUAGUAUAUUAGGUCAAGGUGCAGCUAAUAUAAAAGUUGAGGUGAGUUACAAUAUAUCAUAUAUUUGGAUUAAUUAUUUUAAGAUUUUUUUGAAAUUGGAUUUAAUUGUAUAUUUGUUUUAAUAUGACAUUUUGAUAAGAGCUCUAGGAUAUGUACACACGCCCCCCCUCCUUUA
rnacentral:rRNA from 1 species